UUUUUAUAAGACCGCAAAAAUUAAAAAUUUUUUGGUCGUAUAUUGGUAUGAUGUUGGCGUCGUCGUCUGCGUCAUCGUUGUCUUCGUCGUCCGAAUACUUUUAGUUUUCGCACUCUAACUUUAGUAAAAGUGAAUAGAAAUCUAUGAAAUUUUAACACAAGGUUUAUGACCACAAAAGGAAGGUUGGGAUUGAUUUUGGGAGUUUUGGUCCCAACAUUUUAGGUAUUAGGGGCCAAAAAGGGCCCAAAUAAGCAUUUUCUUGGUUUUCGCACUAUAACUUUAGUUUAAGUAAAUAGAAAUCUAUGAAAUUUUGACACAAGGUUUAUGACCACAAAAGGAAGGUUGGGAUUGAUUUUGGGAGUUGAGGUCCCAACAGUGUAGGAAUUAGGGGCCAAAAAGGGGCCCAAAUAAGCAUUAUUCUUGGUUUUCGCACCAUAACUUUAGUAUAAGUGAAUAGAAAUCUAUGAAAUUUAAACACAAGGUUUAUGACCAUAAAAGGAAGGUUUGGUUUGAUUUUGGGAGUUUUGGUCCCAACAGUUCAGGAAUAAGGGGCCCAAAGGGUCCAAAAUUGAACUUUGUUUGAUUUCAUUAAAAAUUGAAUAAUUGGGG
rnacentral:lncRNA from 1 species